UACGGGGGGGGCAAGCGUUGUUCGGAAUUACUGGGCGUAAAGGGCUCGUAGGCGGCCAACUAAGUCGGAUGUGAAAUCCCCAGGCUCAACCUGGGAACUGCAUCCGAUACUGGAUGGCUUGAAUUCGGGAGAGGGAUGCAGAAUUCCAGGUGUAGCGGCGAAAUGCGUAGAUAUCUGGAGGAAUACCGGUGGCGAAGGCGGCAUCCUGGACCGACAUUGACGCUGAUGAGCGAAAGCUAGGGGAGCAAACGGG
rnacentral:rRNA from 1 species